AAUAGAUACCCCGGUAGUCCACGCCGUAAACGAUGGAUACUAGCCGUUCGGGCCCUUGUGGCCUGUGCGGCCAAGCGAAAGUGAUAAGUAUCCCACCUGGGGAGUACGUCCGCAAGGAUGAAACUCAAAGGAAUUGACGGGGGCCCGCACAAGCGGUGGAGCAUGUGGUUUAAUUCGAUGAUACGCGAGGAACCUUACCAGGGCUUGAACGCGGGGCGACGGGGCCGGAAACGGCCCUUCCCUCGGGCGGCCCGCGAGGUGCUGCAUGGUUGUCGUCAGCUCGUGCCGUGAGGUGUCAGGUUAAGUCCUAUAACGAGCGCAACCCCUGCCGUUAGUUGCCAGCAUGUUAUGAUGGGGACUCUAACGGGACUGCCGGUGCAAACCGCGAGGAAGGCGGGGACGACGUCAAAUCAUCACGGCCCUUACGCCCUGGGCGACACACGUGCUACAAUGGCCGGCACAGAGAGCGGCCACCUAGCGAUAGGGAGCGGAUCUGAAAACCGGUCACAGUUCGGAUCGGGGCCUGCAACCGGCCCGUGAAGCUGGAAUCGCUAGUAACG
rnacentral:rRNA from 1 species